UUCUAAAAAGAUAUAAUUGUUUAAAGGGAUAAAGACUUGUCUCAGAAAUUUUUUUUCAAGAUUUUUUACAAAUGUGUAUGCAGAAAUAUGCUAACUAUGUUUUUCCCUUGUGGUAGUCUGAAUGUAACUGGUUCCCAUAGGCUCACAGGUUAUAGCACUAUUAUGAGGUGUGGCCUUCCUGCUGCCUACGGAUCAAUACAUGGAACUGUCAGUCCCUUCUCCAGCAUCAAACCUGCAUGCUGCCAUGUUUCCUGGGAUGCUGAUAAUGGACAAAACCUUUGAACCUACUUCAACUCCCCGUAUGUUUCUGUAUUAAACCUGGGCUGAGAAGAAAUAUGCCACAUUGGGGAAACAGAAGGAAAGCAGCAGCUAUUACACCCGAAGCAGUGAGGUGGCCAAGGAUAAUGAGAGGCAGCUACACAGGCGCUGAUGACAGGCUUGCUGAGCCCCCACUCCAAGUCCAGCUCUUCUCAACUGCCAGCCCAUGGGCCAGCAAUCCAGGCCCACUAAAACCUUCACUAGGAACUGGCAGAUGCGGACCUGGAGGACCAGGGAAGGAGACAAAUGAACACUCCCAAACCUUUCUGCUUGACCAAGUUUAUGCUGUCCUGGGCAAUCUCCUUCUCAAGAUUCUGCGAGCACAGUGGAACUGGCCACUUCUGACACAGUACAGAAGCUGCUCUGCAGAGUUAAGUCAAACCGGUUUCCGCUCAGACGUCCUGAACUAACUAACAUGCCACCACAGCUCUGCUGCUCAAGAAGACAUGUCUUUUGUUUCUCAAGUUUCAAUUUGCAAACAACAAAAUUUUAUUAAAACUCUAAAUUAGGGGUUUUAAAAAUAUAAUUAAACUUUAUUUGUAAAACAACAAAACUUUAAUUAUCAAAUAAAACGAUAAAGAAAAAAACUCCUGAUGAGGUAGUGAUGGGGACCGCUCAGGGGAUAAAGACACUUGACACUUGUCAUCAAACCUGAAGUCUUGAGUUCAAUUCCCAGGUUCUACAUGACAGAAAGAGAACUGACUGCCACAUACACUGAUGUAAGCACACACAAAGUUAAUAAGCAAAGGUAAAAAAGCUAAAUGCUUUCUUAGAAUUUAAGUUGGAAAGUAUAACACAUUUAGCAUUACAUAUAAAUAAUCCAGAUACACAAUAUAUAUAAAGGUAUAUAUAUAAAUACCUAUAGAGAUACAUAUAUUGUCUAUGAAAUAAAAUUCUAUUUUCUAAGGUUCUAAAUGUUUUUGAGAUUGUAUUUACAGUUUGAGGCAAAAGCAAAUAGGAAAAUUAAUAGCAAUAAUAGAACACAGAAUUUUUUAAAUAUAUGUUUUUGGUUUUGUCUGUUAUAACUCUAGUACCUAGAACAGUUCAUAAGACACAACAGGUAUGCAGUAAAACUCACUGAGUUACAAUGGAAAGUAUUUCUGAAUACAAAUAUGCCUAGCACUAUGAUAACUGUUUAUAGCUAGUAUUUCACUUAACUAUAAAGCUUAAAACAUUGGUAUUAUAACCUCAUUUACAUCAUGAGGCACAUAAUGGUUAAAUUACUUGUCUAGAAUCAUAUUGACAGUAUUAGUGUAAUAACUGAUACUAAUAUAAAACCUGAACAUUAAGACAAAAAUUUCAACAUUUCACUAUCAUGCCAAAUAAAUAAGCAAAAAAAAAUCUUGAAAUAUAUUCUAACUUUACAUUGUAUUUUCAAAGGAUCUCAAAAUACAUGCAAGCUGCUGUUGGCACAGCAGUUACAAACACUUGUUACUCUACAGAGGACCCAGGUUUGAUUCCCAGAACCCACAGAGUGGUUCCAAGUAACUCUAGUCUCAGGUGACCUGAUGCCCUCUUCUGACCUCUGUGAACCAAGAGCACACACAUGGUGUGCACAUACAUACAUGCAGG